AAUCUCCCGAGUACCUUCAUGACAGAGUGUGCAGACAGGCCCCCUAUAAAUACCACGGUCGACACGCUAGUGGGUCUUUCUCGCGCGGCACUGUGUGUAAAGAGAGCUGGAAAUCAAUGCUGCCUUUUACUCUUGCAAUGGGAAGUGGGUGAGUGCUGGAGAUGGCAUCCAUUUCAGAUGGGCGAAUCCUGCUUCAUCAAAAUGGGCAAUGUGUGGACAGAUGAGAGAAUUUUUGGGCAGGUCCCUCCUCUGGAUUCCUUCUACUGAAAAUUAGUUUCAGGUUUGUGGAUGCCGCGUACCUUCCUGUUUUGUGAAGGGGAUUUCUCUCAAGCACACUCUGAUGGUUGAGGCUGGUGCAGGUGGCUCUUGGGAGGCAGUGUAUAUGGAUAGAAAUCGUGACCUGUGCUGAUCUGGUGGGGAUUGUGUUGGCUUUUGAGGUGCUGACUGACGGAGCUUGAUGCAGUGCAGAUGGCAGAUAUCCUCAUGUUCCAGCUGUCUAAUGGAUCCUGUUUUAAUAAAGUUAAACUAAUGUA